AGCGAACGCUGGCGGCAGGCCUAACACAUGCAAGCCGAACGGAUCCUUCGGGAUUAGUGGCGGACGGGUGAGUAACACGUGGGAACGUGCCCUUUGGUUCGGAACAACUCAGGGAAACUUUAGCUAAUACCGGAUGUGCCCUUCGGGGGAAAGAUUUAUCGCCAUUGGAGCGGCCCGCGUCUGAUUAGCUAGUUGGUGAGGUAAAGGCUCACCAAGGCGACGAUCAGUAGCUGGUCUGAGGGGAUGAUCAGCCACAUUGGGACUGAGACACGGCCCAAACUCCUACGGGAGGCAGCAGUGGGGAAUCUUGCGCAAUGGGCGAAAGCCUGACGCAGCCAUGCCGCGUGAAUGAUGAAGGUCUUAGGAUUGUAAAAUUCUUUCACCGGGGACGAUAAUGACGGUACCCGGAGAAGAAGCCCCGGCUAACUUCGUGCCAGCCGCCGCAGUAA
rnacentral:rRNA from 1 species